AAGAAAUCAACCGAGAUUCUGUAAGUAGCGGCGAGCGAAAGCGGAAGAGCCUGUUAGUGAUAAUGGUUUUGUUAGGAGAAUGAGCUGGGAAGCUCAAUCGUAGAGGGUGAUAAUCCCGUAUCCGAAAACAUUAUUAUGGUACUAAGCUAACGACAAGUAGGGCGGGACACGAGAAAUCCUGUUUGAAGAUGGGGGGACCAUCCUCCAAGGCUAAAUACUCCUGAUUGACCGAUAGUGAACCAGUACUGUGAAGGAAAGGCGAAAAGAACCCCGGCGAGGGGAGUGAAAAAGAACCUGAAACCGUGUACGUACAAGCAGUGGGAGCACGCUUAGGCGUGUGACUGCGUACCUUUUGUAUAAUGGGUCAGCGACUUAUAUUCUGUAGCAAGGUUAACCGAAUAGGGGAGCCGAAGGGAAACCGAGUCUUAACUGGGCGUUAAGUUGCAGGGUAUAGACCCGAAACCCGGUGAUCUAGCCAUGAG
rnacentral:rRNA from 1 species